GGUUGUUUGGCCGAGCGGUCUAAGGCGCCUGAUUCAAGGACUCAGGUAUCGUAAGAUGCAAGAGUUCGAAUCUCUUAGCAACCA
rnacentral:tRNA from 2 species